UACGAAGGGUGCAAGCGUUACUCGGAAUUACUGGGCGUAAAGGCGCGUAGGCGGUCAGCACAGUCAGUUGUGAAAUCUCCGGGCUUAACCCGGAAAGGUCAACUGAUACGUGUGCGACUAGAGUGCGGAAGGGCAACUGGAAUCUCGGUGUAGCGGUGAAUGCGUAGAUAUCGAGAGGAACACCUGCGGCGAAGGCAGCACUCUGGGACGUGACUGAGCGAGACGCGAAGCGUGGGGAGCGAACAGG
rnacentral:rRNA from 1 species